GGUGCCAUUCAUUUGUCAUUCCCUUCAUUUCAGGUCUGGGUGUGAGUGGGCAGAACCUUCCAGAGGACCCCUCCUGGCGAGGAUCCUGCUUCAGAGAAAGCAAAUCUGAUCUGAGGAGAGCUGCCAGCCAUAAGCACUUCUGAAGAAGAAGGAUGGGGAGAUCUGGACCCUUUUGCAGAAUGAAAAAGCCAAGGAGUGCUGGGAGGAGAAAGGCAUCUCACAGGAGGUGAUCACCACUGCUGGCAUGUGGGGUUAUUUCUUUUUCUCUCUUAGUCCGUAAUGUUCUUUUUACAAAGUUGAA
ensembl:lncRNA